rnacentral:lncRNA from 1 species
AUGGGGGAGUACAUAGGCAGGAAAGGGAUACAGGAAGGUUUCAGCUGCACUGACUUUUGAGAUGAGUUUUCUAUGUAGCCCUGGCUGUCCUGGAACUCACUCAGUAGAGCAGGCUGCCUGGCCUUGAACACAGAGAUAUGCCUCCUCCUGAGUGCUGGGAAUAAAAGCGUGCACUGCCACUACCCAGCUAACAUAUCUUUUUCUUAAUGAGAUAUAAAGUAAUGGUUCUUCAUGUUAUCAGUGGUAUUUUAGAUGUAUUAAAAAUAUGGUUUUAUGGGGUUGGGAAUUUAGCUGGAGAGGUGGCUCAGCGGUUAAGAGCACUGACUGCUCUUCCAGAGGUCCUGAGUUCAAUUCCCAGCAACCACAUGGUGGCUCACAACCAUCUGUAAUGAGACCUGAUGCCCUCUUCUGGUGUGUCUGCAGACAGCGACAGUGUAUUCAUAUAAAUAAUAAAUAAAUAAAUCUUAAA